AGUCGACGGGCUCUUCGGAGCAAGUGGCGGACGGGUGAGUAACGCGUGAGAAUGUGCCUUCAGGAUGGGGAUAACAAUAGGAAACUAAUGCUAAGACCCAAUGUGCCUUAAGUGGUGAAAAAUGAAAAUUGCCUGAAGAGGAGCUCGCGUCUGAUUAGCUAGUUGGGGUGGUAAAAGCGCACCAAGGCAACGAUCAGUAGCUGGUCUGAGAGGAUGAGCAGCCACACUGGGACUGAGACACGGCCCAGACUCCUACGGGAGGCAGCAGUGGGGAAUUUUCCGCAAUGGGCGAAAGCCUGACGGAGCAAUACCGCGUGAGGGAGGAAGGCUCUUGGGUUGUAAACCUCAAAACUUAGGGAAGAAAAAAAUGACGGUACCUAAUUUAAGCAUCGGCUAACUCCGUGCCAGCAGCCGCGGUAAUACG
rnacentral:rRNA from 1 species